AUUCGCCCGCCGCGCGCGGCGGGCGGGGCGGGGGCACGGGGGGCCUACGGGAGGCAGCAGUGGGGAAUAUUGCACAAUUGGGGAAACCCUGAUGCAGCGACGCCGCGUGAGCGAAGAAGUAUUUCGGUAUGUAAAGCUCUAUCAGCAGGGAAGAAAAUGACGGUACCUGACUAAGAAGCACCGGCUAAAUACGUGCCAGCAGCCGCGGUAAUAAUCUCUAGAGGAUCCCC
rnacentral:rRNA from 1 species